rfam:Glycine soja cultivar W05 scaffold1774_60, whole genome shotgun sequence.
UUUUGAUUGAACAAUAGAUAACUCGUAUCAUGUUAUAUGAUUGGUCCAUGACAAUCAAAACAUGAUAUGUGAUAGUCAUCGUCCAAUCAAAAUGUGACACGUGACUGUCAACAUUC